rnacentral:rRNA from 1 species
GUCGAACGCUUAUUUCGGGGUAGCAAUAUUCCGGAGUAGGAGUGGCGCAAGGGUGCGUAACACGUGGGUAAUUUGCCAUAAAGCUUGGGAUAACUCCGAGAAAUCGGAGCUAAUACCGAAUGUGAUAACCUGGGGGCAUCCCCGGGUUCUUAAAGUUGGGGACCGUAAGGCCUGACACUUUAUGAUAAGCCCGCGGCCUAUCAGCUAGUUGGUGAGGUAACGGCUCACCAAGGCUAAGACGGGUAGCUGGUCUGAGAGGACGACCAGCCACACUGGAACUGAGACACGGUCCAGACACCUACGGGUGGCAGCAGUCGAGAAUUUUUCACAAUGGGCGAAAGCCUGAUGGAGCGACGCCGCGUGGGGGAUGAAUGGCUUCGGCCCGUAAACCCCUGUCAUUUGCGAACAAACCUUCUCUGUGAACAACGGAGAAGCUGAUAGUAGCGAAAGAGGAAGGGACGGCUAACUCUGUGCCAGCAGCCGCGGUAAUACAGAGGUCCCGAGCGUUGUUCGGAUUCACUGGGCGUAAAGGGUGCGUAGGUGGCAAGGUAAGUUUGAUGUGAAAUCUCCGGGCUUAACCCGGAAAAUGCAUUGAAUACUAUCUAGCUAGAGAGUUGUAGGGGGGACUGGAAUUCUUGGUGUAGCAUUGAAAUGCGUAGAUAUCAAGAGGAACACCAGUGGCGAAGGCGAGUCCCUGGACAACUUCUGACACUGAGGCACGAAGGCUAGGGGAGCAAACAGGAUUAGAUACCCUGGUAGUCCUAGCCUUAAACGGUGCACAUUUGCUGUGAGCGGAAUCGAUCCCGCUCGUGGCGUAGCUAACGCGAUAAAUGUGCCGCCUGGGGAGUACGGUCGCAAGAUUAAAACUCAAAGAAAUUGACGGGGGCCUGCACAAGCGGUGGAGUAUGUGGCUCAAUUCGAUCAACGCGAAGAACCUUACCUGGGCUUGAACUACUGGUAGUAAGUCCUAGGAAACAGGGGCUGAUCCGCAAGGAAGCCAGCAGAGGUGCUGCAUGGUUGUCGUCAGCUCGUGUCGUGAGAUGUUGGGUUAAGUCCCGCAACGAGCGCAACCCCUAUCCAAUGUUGCUACUCCCGCAAGGGAGGCACUCUUUGGAAACUGCCUUCGAUAAGAAGGAGGAAGGUGGGGACGACGUCAAAUCCUCAUGGCCCUUAUGUCCAGGGCCACACACGUGUUACAAUGGCCGGUACAAUGGGAAGCAAUACCGCAAGGUGGAGCCAAACCCCAAAGCCGGCCCCAGUUCAGAUUG